rnacentral:rRNA from 1 species
AGUGAACGCUGGUGGUAGGCCUAACACAUGCAAGUCGAACGGCAGCACAGGAGAGCUUGCUCUCUGGGUGGCGAGUGGCGGACGGGUGAGGAAUACAUCGGAAUCUACACUGUCGUGGGGGAUAACGUAGGGAAACUUACGCUAAUACCGCAUACGACCUACGGGUGAAAGCAGGGGACCUUCGGGCCUUGCGCGAUUGAAUGAGCCGAUGUCGGAUUAGCUAGUUGGCGGGGUAAAGGCCCACCAAGGCGACGAUACGUAGCUGGUCUGAGGGGAUGAUCAGCAACACUGGAACUGAGACACUGUCCAGACUCCUACGGGAGGCAGCAGUGUGGAAUAUUGUACAAUGGGCGCUAGCCUGAUCCAGCCAUACCGCGUGGGUGAAGAAGGCCUUCGGGUUGUAAAGCCCUUUUGUUGGGAAAGAAAUCCAGCUGGCUAAUACCCGGUUGGGAUGACGGUACCCAAAGAAUAAGCACCGGCUAACUUCGUGCCAGCCGCCGCAGUAA